GAGCCCAGGAGGUCAAGUCUGCAGGGAGUGGAGAUCACACCACAGCACUCCAGCCUGGGCAACAGAGUGAGACCCUGUCUGUGAGGCUCGGACUUAAUCCCGCUGAAUCCUCAGUGCGGUCCUCUAAAGCCAUGGAAUUGAGAGAGGUAAAGUAACAAGCCCACGGUCACAAACCUAGUAACAGUGCGAAGAUUCCAACCCAGGCCUCUGAUGCCAUGUGGUGUUUUCGCAAGAGCAUCUUUUGACUUUGCUAAUUUCUGGACAUCAUGUGGAGCCUUCUAUGAAAGAGUCAAAUAUUUGGGAAGGCAAACAUCAAAGGGAGUUAGUGCAGGUAUUUUAUGUAAGCGGAUCGCCCUGCGGUGGUGUCUGAUUUUCCUGCCAGCCCUGCCCUCUCCCAGGACACACGUUCUCUGCCAUGCAUUCGCUUCUGUCAGUGCUCUCUGGAACUGCAUUUUCCAGGACUCCGUUACUCCCCAAGCAUACAAAUGCCUCUCCUUCAUUUUUUUCCCAUUAAGCAGAUUUAA
rnacentral:lncRNA from 10 species